UUGACUUCUGUUCUGCUACGAUGAUGGCGACGAAGUUAUUCCUGGUGCUAACUUUGCUUGCAAUCUAUUCGCCACAAGCUAAAGGUGGAUGGAAGUCAUGGAUGAUAACUAUUCGGGGUGAUGAUGGAAGCAACAACGUAAUAACUACGGCGAAUAUUGCGUAUUAUACCCAGGGGGAGCGAGAUGUAAAAAACUGUACUCUGGACAACGCGAGUGAAGCAACAAUUUUGGCCUGUAGCACAGGUGUUUCAAACAUCACCAUUGCUGUGAUUCCUCAGACAGUAACUAAUUUCAUGAGUUACUCUAUCAAAAGCGCCGAAUGUUCCAAUAAGAGUCCAAAUUCUCAAAAUGGGAACAACGAUCAUCCUAAUCCAUGAAAUACUUUCUGGAAUUUUAGCAAUUCGGGUGCUUCUUCUCAUCGCUUCAACUAAAACUUGCAUCUUAGCUGUUGUUGUCAACAUCAAAGGAUGUAUAAAUAAAUAAUAUCACGCCACUAAGAGAGUCACAUAGCGAUACUGGACUCAAUACGCAUGCACCAGAUUGUCUACUGUAUCUUCAAACUUAACCAUACCUUAAGCAGAUAUGCAAUAAUCAUUCCUCUUUCGCUUGAAGUUUAAGCAGUUGUUUUAUGUAAUUUCAUUAUCUAAUAAACUUUAAAGGUCUAAUAUGUAUGACUUUA